ACAUGAUUACAUCAUAGCGUUAAUGCAUCGGAUCCCAUUAGAAAUACACAAUUAAGCGCGUUGAGGCUAGAGUAGUACUGGGAUGGAUGACAGCCCAGGAAGUCCUAGUGUUUUACAUGCC
rnacentral:rRNA from 1 species